GGCCCCCAUCAAGAGUACCAGGUGAGUACUGUGCAACACUAAGGGCCCCCAUCAAGAGUACUAGGUGAGUACUGUGCAACACUAAGGGCCCUCAUCAAGAGUACCAGGUGAGUACUGUGCAACACUAAGGGCCCCCAUCAAGAGUACUAGGUGAGUACUGUGCAACACUAAGGGCCCUCAUCAAGAGUACCAGGUGAGUACCGUGUGACACUAAGGCCCCCAUCAAGAGUACCAGGUGAGUACUGUGCAACACUAAGGGCCCCCAUCAAGAGUACUAGGUGAGUACCGUGCAACACUAAGGGCCCUCAUCAAGAGUACCAGGUGAGUACUGUGCAACACUAAGGGCCCCCAUCAAGAGUACUAGGUGAGUACUGUGCAACACUAAGGGCCCCCAUCAAGAGUACUAGGUGAGUACUGUGCAACACUAAGGGCCCCCAUCAAGAGUACCAGGUGAGUACCGUGCAACACUAAGGGCCCCCAUCAAGAGUACUAGGUGAGUA